UUUAGCCUCUUCCUGGUGGGUGAGAAGUCAGCCAGGAGUCCUUGGUUGCUCAGGAGGAGGAAGAGAGGUGGCAGGGCUUAUGUUUGUUGGAAGCAGCUGUGGAAGUGAGCAAGUUGCAGACGAGGAGGUACGGCUGCUGCAUGGAAUAGUCCCAGACUCCAGAUGUUGUCCAUGGCAGCUGUGAGCAUGAGACACCUAAGUGAUCGGAGUUGAAAGUGCAGAGGGAAAUCAGAGGCUCAUUCUUGGGAGCUUUAAAGGAGAGAGGAAGAGGCAAAAAGGCCCUGACAAACAGCAUGAUUUUCCCUUCCCCAGUUAGAAGUUUCCAAGGGGCAAUCACACUUCCACUGGAGAUGAUGUUUCCUGGAAAAGUUGUUUCAUUAAAACACUCAGACAUGUUUUAACGCUCAGCUGACUUCAUUAGGACUGAAAUCAUGAAGCUCAUCACAGCCUAGAAAUAUAGCCAGGAUGUCCAUAUGCAGAAACAUCUCCAGGAUGUGCCAGUGGAGACUGGGGAAUCAGCAGUCAGCUGAAGUUUCCUACUUAAGGUAUAAAAACUCCUGUCAGGGAGUUUGGUGAUCCACUGUUGUUUACUUGCUUUUUGUACUGUGGUUUAAUGAAAUGCUGGUGACUGAUAAGUUUGGGCCAUAGUGUUUUUCUCAUUUUCUUAUAGUACCGUUGAAGGCAGUAACAGGUUUUUCAUGGCGUUUUUCGCUGUUAAAUCAGGCUUCCGUAAGUGCUAAUGCUGUUAGUGUCACCUUGUUAGAUAGUUUAAUGUGUAGGCGUAAUUCAUCUCCAAAA